rnacentral:lncRNA from 1 species
CAACGGUGCUCAGAUGGUUACAUGUAUCCAAAAGCUUCCAUCCAAAAAUAUUUGGGAUACUUCUCCUGUUUUGAAGAAAAUGAACUGCAGCCUUUUUGAAGUGCAUUAAUUAUGUACCUCAUAAUUCAGUUUAUUUGGAGAUAUGUUCUGCUUCUGUUUUCAUGGAUUCCUAUUUCUACAUCAUUCAUUUGACAAACAUAAAAAGUGGACAUUGUGGCAGCAUGGGCUCUGAACAUGUUCUCUCCUUCCUGUUCUCAAGAACAUACAAUGGAGAAGGCACAUUGAGUAGCACACCUGCCCAACCUUCCACACCGCCAUCAGCUUUCCGUGUAUCAAACAAAAAACACCAAACAAAGAAGACUGUUUCUAGGUAAGUAUAGUGUGCGAAUGUGAUCGCGGGUGAUUGUUUUUUCGAAUGAAUAUGGAGAUCAUAAUUAAAAACCAAAACUUUGUCAGCAUCAGCAAAGGUGCAAAGACCUCUUAUGAAAAUGCAGUCCCUGAUGAAAACUCUUCUGCCAAAAACCUAAAAUGUGAUUCAGACGAAGUGUGUUUUCCUGAAACCAACCAGAACACUGAGCCUUCUUCUGUGAAGGAUGAUGCAACCCAACAGAACAAAAGAGAUGAUCACAAGUUCGCCUUACUCUCCGGUAAAGAGGAGCCAAAUUUGUCAUCUCUCAAGUCACCAAAGCGACCUAACUGCCCACCUGAAGAUGAAACUUUUAUUGUGGAGAAUGACAAAAGAAAAAGAAAAAGAAAAAGUGACUACAGUCAGCCUGAGGACUACAAAGGGUCUGAGAUCGGCUCAGGUUUGGAGGACAGAGGGAACACCCAGUCCAAUUGUGAGGGGAACGAAAACAAGCCACAUAUCAUCCUGUCAUUCAAGCCAGAGCAAAUGAGAGAGAAGAGGUUUUUGAAUGAAACAUUUACUCAAAAUUCAGAAGAUGAACACUCCACUGCAAAAAUGCCUGAUCAGCCAUUUGGAGUGCGUACAUCCUGGGAAGAUUGUGCUGUUGAACAAAUUAAAAACAUUGCUUAUGGGAGCAUCGAAGACUUAAACAAUGACAUCAGUGUACCAAUCAGAAUAAGCAAUUUUGUCCAAUAUGCCAAUGUAAUUGACAUUGUUCAAAAAUUUUGGAGGAAUCAGGAAAAGCAGGAUGUCACCCUUUUAGUUGGUAGAUUCUCAGUACGGUUGCAAGGAAGUGAUCUGUACUGUUGUCCAGUCAAAAAAGAUGAGAAAAAUCUUCAUCUUCAUUACAAAAAUCUUUCUUAUGCAACACUGAAACUAUCGAAAAGAAAUGCUAAAAACUUUUCUGAGACAAUUUGGAACUAUAUCAUGGGGAACCAUGACAAAGUUGAAUCUUAUGUACUGACACCUCAAGAUGCCACUGCAGUAUGUGCUGUUUUGUUCUCAGAAGUUAUUAGGUAUCCUGACAUGUUUUUCCACAACAUUCUUCUGAUGCAUU